UCACAAACAAAACAAUGCAGAAAGAUGUUCAUUGAGUAUAAGCCCUACGUGGCUCCAGGACAGGACAUUCAACAUUGUUAGGUGAAAGUGUUGAUAUUUGUUUGAGUGAAAAAGGUGGAACUAACUGUUGGCAUAGCUUUUGGUUCUGCUUAAGAGUUUUAUUUUUUCUAUGUUUGUCUUUCAAUUUUAAGCUAAUUUCCCCAAUUAUUUUUUCUUAGUCAGAUAAAGAACCUAACUCUAUGCAACAUAUGUAGAUAUUUUUUGGUUGGAAAAGUUAUUGCUAUUGUCUUCUCUAAUCCUUAUCAUUUCCUACUUGCAAAUUUUUAUUAACAGACAACUUUGUGGUAUCCUAACAGGUGGUGUAUUUGCAUUACCUGAAUAUCAAUUUCGCAUAUCUCACAUUAUUUUUGAGAAGCAAGUGAAAAGCAAUACAGAUGAUUUCUGUGUUACAGAAAUCAGUGGGUUUUUCUCUGUUCUUCAGCGAUUCAUGUCAUGGUGAUCAUCGGUACUAUACCAUCCUUCAUUUUAAUCCGCUGGGGACGAAGACAAGUGCUUAUAGGGGGAGCAAUCUUCCUCUUAAUUGGACAAGUACUUAUUUCAUGGUUCCCGCACUUAUACGUAGAGAUCAUUGGCAUACUAUUAUGCGGAUGUGGAAUGGGAUUCUUAUAUCAGGUGAUUCCUACUAUACACUCAGAAACUGCUCCAAAAGACUCAUAUUAUACCAUAUCAAUGGUUUUUGGAUGGCCACAGACGUUGGGUACCAUUUUAGCAGCAGCAAUAAAUUAUAUAGCAUCUUACUUCCACGUUUGGGGAUGGAGGAUGUCACUGGGAGCAGGAGGAAUUCCUACUAUCAUUCUCCUUGUUGUAUCGUGCACUCUGAUUGAGACUCCUCGAUUCUUCAUUGAGUGAGGCAAUCUUGAGAAAGCUAAGAAGAUCUUACGAUCGCUAAGAGGAUCGACCACAAAUGUCGAGUUCACAGAAUCCGACAUAAAGGUCGAGUUCACAGAAUUAGUGGCAUUCACAAAGAAAAAACAACCAAUAGAGGCUCUGCGAGAAAUUAUAAGACCUCGCAACUGUCCCGUUUUGGUGAUCAGCAGCAUUGAGUCCGUAUUUGAAGAAUUUUCUAGUGGAGACUUGUUGACUUUUUAUGGUCCUUUUCUCCUUCAGUCUAUUGGCUAUACGCGACACGAAUCAUUUUUUGCUGCUUUGGUUGUUGCAUUUGUGGACCUAAUAGCUAAAGCGAUUAGCCCACUUCUUAUUGCACGUUUUGGGAGGAGGAAAGUAUUUUUGAUAGCAUAUUUAACCGCAAUUAUCCCACUGGUAUGUCUACUAAUUAGUCUAUCAUAUAAACAAUUAUUAUAAUCGUUUUGAGUUUUUUAAUUAUUUAUGUUUAUCAUCUAUUUAUCCUUUAUGUGCAACUGCAGGUUUGCGUUGGCAUUCUCUUUCAUUUGAAUCCAAACGCACAUCAUCAUUUCAAACCUCACAGAGCUAACAUGACCAUUGUUUUUGUGUUAUUACACAUAGUUGGAAGUGGUGUUAUAUCUGGACCAGACGGAUGGCUUAGUUCAACAUUUCCACCAGAGUGUGACGACCUUGCAUCGGCGUACAAUCUCUGUUUAGAAAUGUUAACAACUUUUAUUAUAAAUCAGAUAUUCUUUCACCUCCUUUCCACAUUAAGACAAUGGACUUUCUUUCUUUAUGCCACACUAUGCAUUACCAUGAUGUUCUUCAACCUAGCGUUUGUUCCAGAAACGUCUGACAGAGAACAACAUGAAUUGGGUUAAAGGGUAUGGAGCCAUCAUUGGUUUUGGAAGCGGUAUAUGUCCAAUUCCAAUUCAGAUGAACAUAUCAUUUAUCUUAUAUCGUCGAAAUUGGACAUAUACCGCUUUUAAAACCAAUGAUGGCUCCAUAUCCUUUGAGCCAAUGCAUGUUAUUCUAUGCCAGACGUUUCUAUAACGAACGCUAAGUUGAAGAGCAUCAUAGUAAGGCAUAGUGCAAAGUAAAGAAAGAAAGUCCAUUCCAUUAAUGUGCAUAGGAGGUGAAAAAACAUUUGAUUUAUAAUAAAAGUUGUUAGUUUUUCUAAACAGAAAUUGUACGAUAAUGCAAGAUCGUCGCACUCUGGUGGAAAUGUUGAAUUAAGUCAACCGUUUGGUCCAAAUAUAACACCACUUCCAUUUAUGUGUAAUAACACAAAAACAAUGGUCAUGGUAGCUCUGCGAGGUUUGAAAUGAUGAUGCGCGUCUGGAUUCAAAUGAAACCGAAUCCCAACGCAAACCUAUAAUUGCACAUAAAGAUAAAUAUAUAGUAAACAUAAAUAAUUAAAAAAUUCAAAACGAUUCUAAUAAUUAUUUAUAUGUUAGACUAAUUAGUAGACAUACUAGUGGAAUAAUUGCGCUUAAAUAUGCCAUAAAAAAUACUUUCCUCUUCCUAAAACGUCCAAUAAGAAAUGGGCUAACCAAUUUAGUUAUUAGGUCCACAAACGCAACAAUCAAAGUAGCAAGAAACGACUCAUGUCACUCAUAGCCAAUAGA